CAAAAACAGAGCUAUAGCUCUCCAUGCAAACCUGAGGCUGCUCUCAAUGCUGCUGCAGAUGAGGGAAGGGUUGAAACUCUAUGGCUUGUCAGAUAUUAUGGCCAAAUACCCUGAUAUCUGUAAGCCUCUGUUUGUGCCAGGGGUAGAGAUAAAAGUAAGUGCACCAUAGACACAAUUUUAAGAUUAAAAUUCUAUGUUGCACCACAACAGUUCUAUUAGAAGUUGAGUUGAAAUGGUGUACUUGGUGUGUUUGAGUUAGACUUAAAUCCAAGAGUGUAAAGUGCUAAACGUGUAUGUUUAAUGAGAUCUGACUUAUUACACAUGGAAAUGUAUAUGAAUUAAAAACCAAUGGAUAGGAAAGUUAGGAUAACUACUUUUUACAGUAUCACUUGAACUGAAUCACAAACUAGAUGUAGCAGGACUCAUGAGCUAAGUGUGAUAGCAAGGCAGACAUCUUAUUCCAAAAAAUGUUAUCAACUAAUAACUGAUUACAUCUGAUAUAGUUUGACAGGCUGAUGCAGACUUCAUCACUUCUGCAUGCCAUGCAGAAUUUAGCAAGAGCGGCUCAAACCAAAAACAGGUGGAGGUGACCUUAAUGAAUCACCUGCAGGAUUUCCUCCAGGAAUUGGAGCAAGAAUCUGUGAUGGAGAGAGAUGCACUUCCCUCACUGUCUCCAAAAACAUUUCUCCAGUGGAUUACAGGGCAAGGCCAUCUUCCUGUCCUGAAAGAAGAGCGGAGAUGUUUCAAUAUCAGCAUCAAGUUCAAUCAUCACUGCAACACAGAGUUUGGGGAUCACAGAAUAUGCUUGCCUGUGAAACACAUGACAUCAUACAAUGAAUUUAAAACUGUCCUGGUGGAGGUAUUCCAUCUGGGCCAGGAAUUCUCUAGCAUUUGGCUCAGAGUUUAGAUGAAAUGUUUAUGUUAUGUUCAUAAUUGAAAUAAACUUGUUUUUACCCAUUACAUUGGAUGAAGUUAAGAAACAGAACUGUAUAUGAGUAAUGUUGAUAUACUGUUACUGUUGUUAUCACAUGAGAUCUAAAAUCCUGAUAUUCCCAUUAAAACAAUGUUCUCUUAUAAGAUAAACAUAAAAGAAUUGGCAGUCAGUGGCUGUUUAUUUUAUAAUAAUUAAACUGACUGAC